rnacentral:rRNA from 1 species
GUCUCCAGCCGUGCUACCCUGAGCGCGCCUGAUCUCGUCUGAUCUCGGAGGCUACGCAGGGUGGGGCCUGGUUAGUACUUGGAUGGGAGAAAGAGCAAAGCAACUUAAACC